UGGCUGUAGCUCAGUGGUAGAGCACCUGCCUCACACCUGUGAGGCACUGGGUUUGAUCCGCAGCACCAA
rnacentral:tRNA from 1 species